CCCCUCUCUCUCUUAAUCAUUCUCCUCCUCCUCUAUAAAAAAAAAAUCAAUACUCAUGGAUCCUUGGGAUAAAACUAACUCAUUAGACCACCACCACCACCGUCGCCAAGAUCAUCGCCAUCCUUCCUUCUCCUCCACUCUCCUCGACCAAAUCUACAACUCCAUCGACUCCUCCUCCGCCGUUAACCGCCGCGCAGUCGCCGGAGAUUCCGUUAGAUCAAGGAAUCUCAAGACCGCUGAGCCAGUUUUCUUCAAGCAUUGGAGCUCCUCCAGCUCCUCAGACUCAAGCGGAUUCUCCUCUUCCGAGUCCGACUCCUUCUACAGGCGAUCUCGUUCUUCGCGUUCUCCGCCGGAGAUUCCCCAUCCCAAGCCGAUUCGAACCACCGUCGAGAGACUCGAACGACCUAAUAAUAAUAAUAAUAAUAAUAAUAAUAAUAAAGUGAAAUCGAAGGCGUUGAAGAUGUAUAGCGAUUUGAAGAAAGUGAAACAGCCGAUUUCUCCAGGCCGACGUCUCGCCACUUUCCUUAACUCUAUUUUCACCGGAAACUCGAAGAAACCGAAUAAAACCGCCACGUCAUCAUCCACCACUUGCUCAUCCGCGUCUUCCUUCUCCAAAUCUUGCUUGAGUAAAACGCCGUCGUCUAGUGAAAAAUCGAAAAGGUCUGUUCGCUUCUGUGAGUCCACGCGCCAACGUCAAAACUUUGAUACUUUUGAGAGCCGAGUGAUGGAGGAGAAUCGUCGCGUGAUUGAAGCAGCCAAGGAACUUAUCAGAACUUACCAGAAGAAUAAAGACGUCGUUAACAUCAUCGGCAAAGAAGAAGAAGAUGAUGAAGAGGACGAUGACGAUGGUGGGAGCUGCGCGAGCUCCGAUCUGUUCGAAUUGGAUCAUCUAUCGGUGAUUGGAAUCGAUAGUUAUCGAGAAGAGCUUCCCGUCUACGAGACGACUCGUUUUAACACGAACCGUAUAAUCUCCAGAUGAAUAAUUAAUUAUUCUCAAACUAUGUAUAACUAAUUGCUUAGUUUCCUAAUGUAGUAACUAUGUUCUUACUAGUUUAUAGGUGGAUUAAUUGGUUUUGGAUUAUACAGUUUUAUGAGUGAUGUUACCUAUUUGCAUGCCAUGUUGUUUGAUCGCGUUAAGUUGCCAAGCCGAACAUUCUACUUAAGUUAACACUAAAAAAGUUUUUAUGGAUUUAAAACGGAAACAACCAUAAAAACCUUAAACUUUCAAAAUAAAAGAAAAAAACUUUAAACUCAUGUUUGAACCAAAAAAUAUUUCAAUUUUCAAAUAUUUGUCAUCCUAAAAAGUCAAUUGUUAAAUCAGUGAACAUAUAUGUUAACUCGCUAAUCGUUUUAAGAACUGAUUAAAUAUUAAUGAAAUAAUGUCGUUUUACAUCUUUAAACAUUUAAAUAAUCUAUUUUUCACAAAUCUUAAAUGUUUUAAUUCUCUAAUCUCUCGAUCUUCUAAUAUCCAAAACCCAGAACCAUUAAUAAUAUAAAGGAUGGCUAGGACGAUGGAGACAUUUCGGCUUUUUCGUAGUGAGAGAUCUGAAUUGGAAUUUUUAGAGAAUCUACGAUUGAACAACAAAAUCAAGUAGGUGAAGAAGGUGAUAGUGAAGAUGAUAGUGAGACUAAUGAUAAUGAGACUGAGAAUAAUGGUAUUGAUGUCGAAAAAAAUAAUUUAAUUAGUAUUUAAAACAAUGUCGUUUAGCAAAGUAACAGACGUUUACGGUUUAAUUUCAAAUUUCUAAAGUGGCCAAUCAACAAAAAAUGAACGUUAAAAUAGCCAACAUUUAAAAAUUGGGAUAUUUUUUGGUUCAAACACAAAUUAAAGGUUAUUUUUGCUUUAAUUUGAAACUUUAGGAUUUUAUUUGUAGUUUACUCGAUUUAAAACUAAUUUUUUUUAUCUCAGAUCACAGCCAUAGGUCGCAGCUAUGUCCAAAUGAAUACAUAUGUACUAUUUCCACUAAAUAAGUUUACUUGUAAGUUAUGUAUUACUAAUACUUUAGCUUUAUUAGCUCCUAAUUGUUAUUUGGAUGUGUUAAUGACAAUUAAACAAACUUCGAAAUUAAGAGGCGCCUGCGACGAAGAACGUAGAAUUUUUAAGUUGAGUUGAAAAAAAAGAUGCAAAAAACAGUUUUUCUACUAUUUGACAUUUGUCAUUAAUUUAGAUAGCAAAAGAAGGUUGAAUUUUUUUUCUUUCUGUCACCUCCACUCAUAAAAUAAAAUAAAUAUUAUGGCUUUUAAUGGUUUCUAUUUUCAAUGUUUGGUACAAAUAAUUAACUACACCAUUUAUACAUAGUUCUAGUGAAUUACCAACCAAUCAAUAAUGAUGUCUUGUUAUAUAGAUUUUGAAUUGUGACAUAUCUUCUUCACCUAUCUCACUAGCAAAACUUCUAAGUUCUAAAUAAUACUAAUGUAUGUCAAAAUAAUAUUAUUAACUUUUCAAAUUUAAACCAUAUCAUUUAAACUUCACCAAACCUGUAAUUGCACAUGGGUUUUGUUCAUUUCUGCAACUGCAACAGGCUAUGAAGUAUUAUCCGUUUUGUCAUCUCGCGAUCUUAAUUGUGAUUUGUGACUAACUAUUGUUCAUUAACUUACGACCCUUGCGACCAACGAUACAUAAAUGAUCAUGGCCUUCCUCAAUCAAGAUUCCCUCCCUCCGAAUGUAAUUCACUUACCAAUGUUUCUGUUGUUUUACUUUCAUUGGAACUACUUUAAAUUUAGUCCCUUGGGGAGAUCCGAUAAAACAGGAAUGAUACAGAAAAGAUUAGCAUGGCUCCUGUGCAAGGAUGACACGCACAAAUCGAGAAUUGGUCUAAGAAAAAAUUUCAAAAAAAAAAACUACUUUAAAUUUAAAAAAAGGUAAAAAUAUUUGACUUGAUGAUACUAAAUACUAGUAAUCAUGAUAAAUAAGCUAAGGGGACAAGAGUGAAAGAGACAUGGUCUCAACUGUCAAAUGUCAUAGACAAAAGUAUCCAAUAAUUUGACUCUCUUUUACUGUUUUCUAUUUAUUUGAUUUUAAUUGACUUGAUUUAAUCUGAAGUGCGACUUUAAGCUUGCAAUUGGAUUAUACCAUAUAAUAAAAGAAAGUCAUUUAUACACAUACUAACUCUUGUAUAUAUAGAAAAACCGUUUGAUGUCAUAAGAAAAAAACUGUUGUAUAUAUAGAAGUUACAGUCGUUUUCCAUAUAAAAUUGUAUUUGAAGACUAACCUACAGUUUAUGGAGGAGAGAAUCGGGUUACAAGUUGGAGUUCUCUACUCAGGAAAUCUGGCAGAUUUUGAGAGAUAAGAAGCCUUUCUGUAGCUGGGCGCCAGGUAUCUGGUUUACGCAAGUGACCCCGAAGUUUGCGUUUAUGGCGUGGCUUUCUGUUCGUGAUAGGAUGUCGACUAUGGGUAGAGUGGUGAAGUGGAGUACGGGGAGUAAUGAUAUGUGUGUUCUCUGUCAUAAUGCUCCGAAAUCGAGGAACCAUUUGUUCUUCGAGUGUGAUAUUUCUGCUCAAGUGUGGGAGUUCGUAGCUAAAGGGUUGUUGCGCCAGUAUUUCACUGUAGUUUGGUAUGAGAUAAUACCCAUUAUUUCUGAUAAGACUAGAGAGAAGAAGAACUUACUUUGUACCAAAUAUGCCUGCCUUCCAAGCUGUUUUAUAUGCCUUGUGGAGAGAAAGGAAUAAGCUGAAGCAUGGAGAGAAGAUGAUGUCUUUACCAGUUUUAAAAAAGGUGAUUGAGAAGGGGAUCAGAAAUAGAAUCACUUUGGUGCAGAAAAAAAGAGGGAGAGGAAUGGAGGUGCUAAUACAAUUUUGGUUUCAAACAAGAAUGUAAUUAGCUUAUAAUCUUAACUUUUUGAGGUCUAGUAUGCAAAUUACUUUGCAAAGAAGUAUGCACUAGUUGUAAUAAGGCUUUUUUUGAUGAAAUUUAACAUUCAUUCAAAAAAAAAAAGACUAACCUACCAUGAUCCAUGAAUGUUAAAUUCAACAAAUGAUUUUUGUACUAUGCAUCUUAAAUAAUUCUAACUCACGUAAGUUGAACUCCAAAUAUGUUUUUUUUUGUCAGCAGUUGAACUCCAAAUAUGAAUUCAUCGUAUAUGCAUAUAAAUAAAUAAGGUUUAAUAUUAGCCUUAUCAUAGCCUUAUUAUACGAUACACUAGUAAAGCAACUAAUACAUUUUUAAUUUGAUAAGUACAUUUUUGUUAAGGUACAAAGAGAAAAAAGAUGAUAAUCUGUAGCAUAGCCAGAUUAGUUAACAUAACUAAUCAGUUGUAA